AGGUUAUUGGGUGACUCUGCCCAUACUUAACACCAGGUGGCUGUUAUGAGGUGGGCCAGUAUAAAAGGGGCACUUUGCCACCAGCUCUUUCUCUUGCACCUCUGCCCUUGGUGCGUCAUUUCCGGGCUCAAGGUCACCUGGUCUGCCAGGGUGACUCUGUGUGCUGCUCCGUGCUCCCUUAUGUGCAGUGGCGUGGUUAUUUGGUGGAUGCCAGCGACAGCCGGUGUCGUCUCUCUCUCUCCCUCCCUCCUCCUGCGCGAGCGUGUGUCCUAAAACAGGUAUGUGUGUUUUUAGUACAUGCGAGCAACCGCAGUAUUUUAAAGUAAUAACGGCGUUUUCCCUGUAAUUAGGAGUUGCUGUGAUCAGCUGCUUAGGAGUCGCUGCUGUUUUGUUUCCGGUGAAAGUUCUGUCUCCACGCUGUUUGUCUCCGAUGAGGCUCUGCCUCUGAAGCGUCGCCUCAGUUGCGUUGCUUUAUUUCUUUCUGCGACGCUGUCUCCACGCUGCGCUGUGUACGGCGGCGUGUUGGUGGUUGGAUGCUUGGCGUGAUCUGCAUUUUGCACCAGAGCCACUUUAGUAAAUGCGCCUGUGUUUUAACCAGGGCCUGGCCCCUGUAUAUGGUUGAAUGGUGUUUAGUUAAUUUUGUAUUCUAAUUAUUUUUCUUGGUUGUUCUGAUUUGAUUUGAUUAGUGUAUAGAUUCUGUUGUGGAUUAUGUUUUCUUUUUCUUGAUUGUAAUUUUGCCCAUUAAUUAGUUUCUUUCUUUUUAGUUGCUAGAGACUGGUGGUGGUGCUGGUGACUGGGUGGUGGUACCCCCCUCUGCCUGCUGUGUCCUGGGAAGCGGGUUCCUCAUUUCACUGAGUGUGUGGGUCACGUAUGUCAGGUGGUGUGAAUUUGUAUUUAAGUUGGGGUGCCCCCC